AUUUCUCAAAGCUCAUCAUCUGACUGCUUGUCUGACUGCACAAGCAAGCCGGAGACACCUGGCCUUGGCAGGCUGCAUUGCUCCCCUCUUCUCAUAUGUCUCAGCAGCCAUUUCGGGCAAAUUACCAGGGCAGCUGCUUGGGGCUGGCAGCCCCAGGAGGCCAGCUUCAGUAGGAUUCAGAGAGACUACCUUGCCACGGAGGGGGGCAAGCGCAUAGCUACAGGUGUUCUGGAAGAAAGCAGCCAGGACUGUUGUCAGGGAGCAAAUGUGCUGUGAAACAGACUGAAGAAGAAGAGGAGGGGGCUUGGGGUAAGAAACAGAAACCUUGGUGUAGGACAGACAUGGCUCUGAGUCCUGCCGCAUUCACCUCCACGGGAGGUGCUGUAGCCUAGUCAUGGAGUCUUGUUUUCUUUAUUGCUCUAUGGACAGGGUGGUAACCUGCCUCACAGGGAGAACCUAACAGCAUGGCAGUGAUGUUCCAUAAAGGCGCUGCUAUGACUAAUAAAAAUGAUGACUUUAUUUU
rnacentral:lncRNA from 1 species